GGUAUCAUAGAGGGUGAGAAUCCCGUGCAUGAUCAGACCAAGAUACUUAAUAUUCGUUUUCUAAGAGUCGAGUUGUUUGGGAAUGCAGCUCAAAUUGGGUGGUAGACUUCACCUAAGGCUAAAUAUCAGCGAGAGACCGAUAGCGAACAAGUACUGUGAAGGAAAGAUGAAAAGCACUUUGAAAAGAGAGUUAAAUAGUACGUGAAAUUGUUGAAAGGGAAACGAUUGAAGUCAGUCAUGCUAGUGAAAAUUCAGUUUGACGGGUUUUGGGUUUAGGAGUAAGAGGUAGGGUCAAACCGUCUCACUUUUAAACUUGGGAUUUGUCGGAAGCACUUUUUCUUUGGCAGGUUAGCGUCGAUUU
rnacentral:rRNA from 1 species